rnacentral:rRNA from 1 species
CGGAUUGAAGGCUGAAAUUCGCCUUCAUGAAGCCGGAAUUGCUAGUAAUGGCAGGUCAGCAUACUGCCGUGAAUACGUUCCCGGGCCUUGUACACACCGCCCGUCACACCAUGAGAGUUGGGAAUACCCGAAGCCUGUGAGCUAACGUAAGAGGCAGCAGUCGAAGGUAGAAUCAAUGAUUGGGGUGAAGUCGUAACAAGGUAGC